UCCCCCAUCUCUGUCAGGGAAUGUCCAGCUGCCACUGGCAUGCAGAUUCAGGCCGAGGCCGCAGAUUUCGUCUCAGGUGCCCUGGGGAGCUAUGGAUGAUGCCAGGUUGGGAGAAGACAAGCAGGCCUCCUGUACCCCCAGGGCUAGGCACAGUGACCUCUCAGGAUCUGUCAGGGCCAGGGUAUGAUGGCUGUGGAGCCAGGACACCACUUUAAUGGAUCACUUCCUUCUGUGUCGCUGAGGCCACCAAGGGAAACUGUGGCAAGUCCCGAGCUGGAGGGGGCUAGGCCAUCACCCACCCCCAUCUGCUCCACUUGCAAAAUUCCACCCUCUUACCCAAGCAAUGAACUCCUGUUCUGUACUUGCUGAAACCAGUCUCCCCUCCCAACCCAGAACUCCCUCUCCCCUCUGCUCCAAAUUCUGGUCGCUUUUCAAGGCCCUGUUUAAACCUCCAUGCUCUGAAAAGCACCCCAGCCAGUUCUCACCUGUCGCUCUGCCAGGACAGAGCCCUCUGGCUCCUGCUCUGAACUGAACCUCCAACUCAGAGGGGUGAGGCAAUUUCAGUUGUAGCUUGGCCACAUAAUUCAUACGGUUAUUUGUUUUUUGUUUUUUUUCCUUUUUUGGCUGCUCCACAGCAUACAGAGUUCUCAGGCCGAGAAUCAGAUUCAAGUUGUAGUUGUGGCCUGAGACACAGCUGUGGCAAUGCGGGAUCCUUAAUCCACUGUGUCGGGCAGAAUCGAACCUGCGUCCCAGCCCUCCCAAGACGCCACGAUCCCGGUCCGCCCCAGAGGGAACUCCUGAAUUCAGUGCUCUGGGGGGAGGGCGAAGGUCCAAAAGGCUUCUAAAUGGGUCUGGGAUGACUUCUCCAGCAGCCCCUUCCCCAGGACCGGUCCAGCCGCGCCCAGCUUCGUAUGGCAGGUGUGUCUCUAGCGCCACCUGGAGGUCUCCAGAUGCCCUGCAGCCCAAUUGGGCGGCGGAGAAGACUGCCGGGAGCCGGCUGCGGGGUCCUCGCCUCUCUCACCCCUGGGAGGAAACAGGCCAUAUGCUUUGUCUUGUAGUCCUGGACUGCUUCCCUAAGGAAGGCAAGCUGGAGCUGGGUCAUGCAGCGCACCUACUAAUUCACCUUCUCAGUCUAGCCACCCCACGGUGCAGGGGCCAGAGAUAGAGGCCAGAGCACGGUUUAGCCCUGAAGUGGGUGGACUGCGCUUGCAGUUUUACCGCUAACUCCAGCAAGUCUCCUCAUUCUUGGAGUCAUCAUACCCGUUUUAUGCAUUGGGAAAAUGUGGCUCAGUUCUCAGAAUAUUUGUGUCGCAGCCCUGGUCCAGUGAUCAGACCUUCUUAACUCAAGCCUGCCCCGGACCGAGGCGGGAACGUAGUCUGCCACGAGCAAAUAAUAUAUGAUUAUCCCUGAAGGCCUGCUUAUUGAAUAAUACCCUUUAUUUAGAGGAAGUUGUCCCAGAGAGGCCCUGACCCGGCUGAGUCACUCAGGGAGUCCAGACCCCUGCCAAAGGCCAGGGCGCCCGGGAUUGAAACAGUCAGCCGCCACCCCACCCCAGUUUCUUCUAGUCUGCGCCCCUCACCUAAAUCUGGUCUUAAGAAUGGAAGUUCCGGAAAGAUGAGAAGUCCCCGCCCAUGCCCCCCGGCCAGGUUUCCUGCUCGCCCCCCCUUUCCCUGAACCCUCCAGCUGUGCUCCCACCCUUCUUUUCUCGGUUCCCGCCGGUGCCGGCCAAAGCCAGGAGGGGGUGGGGCGGAGAACACCAGAGUGGGUGUGCCCCGCCCCCAGCCAGAGCGUGGGGGUGUGGCCUCUGCGCGGGCAACGCCCCUUGCCCAGCGGGCCCACCCCCAGCUCCCAGGAAUUCCGCUGAGUCACUUCCGAGGCCUCCGCUGCAGCCGUGGUGAGAACAAUAAGUGUCAUUCAGAUCUCUAAGCAGCGGACCAGCGCCCACCUGGGAGAGCCGGCCACUGGUCUGUCUAAGCGCCCUUACGUGGCCGACGAGGCCAACCCCACCUCAUCCCCUACCGUUCUCCCCCAGCCAUCCUGGUGGUCCGCAGGCGCCCACCUCAGGGACUUUGCACUGUCUGUGCCUGGCACUUUCUUCCCCAGGGCGUCUGUACUCUUCGCUUCCUCCCCAAGGUCACUGCCAAGGCCUCUGCUCCAGCGGGGAUGUGUCUGGGGAGAAUGCGGAGGUUUCUUGUAUUGGAAAAGAUGUGCAGGUGCAAAUGGACAGUGACAUCUGGAAGUUCUGCCAUGUCUGCCUUGCUAAAUGCAGGCCACUGAGGGAUUGCAACUUCAGACAACAGAACCAGCAAAUUGUUGGAGGCCCUUCCAGCUACACCAGCUGACACAUUACAUUCUGUCUGGGAUGUGCGCCCAUGCCUUGGGAACUAUAUCAACUAUACAGAAAAGUACAGAGAAGAGCACAAGGCAGCCUCAGCUCUGGGAAUCAUUUCACCGGAUCUUCUUCAGCUCUGUUUGCGCAAAGAAAUACAGGAUAUCAGGAUUGGUAGACUGCCGCUCUCCAUGCCCCCUCCCACCUCCACCCUGAAGCUGUGCUGGCCCCUUCCUGUCUGUUUUGUGGCCUUUGUCCCUACCUGGACGUCCCUAAACGAUAAAUGGGAGUGUCCUGUGUUCCUGUUCUUUUUUUUACAGUUCUGCAGUGGGGGGUAAUUUACCUACAGGUCACCAGCUGAGGGUGUACAGCUGGCUCCUGGGUGUACAGCUGUGGGGUCGCCACCCUAAGUAGCACACAGGGAGUUCCUGACCUGGCGCAGUGGUUAGCGAAUCUGACUAGGGACUGUGUGGGGUUGCGGGUUCGAUCCCUGGCCUCACUCAGUGGGUUGGGGAUCUGGCGUUGCUGUGAGCCGGGG